CCAAUAUCUCCCAGCCUCUCCCAGUCUUUCCCUGACUAACCCAGCCUAUCUCCACAUCCCUGCCAGCCUCUUCCAGACCUUCCCAGCCUCUCCUAAACCUUCCCAGCCUCUCCUAGACCUUCCCAGCCUCUCCCAGACCUUCCCAGCCUCUCCCAGACCUUCCCAGCCUCUCCCAGACCUUCCCAGCCUCUCCUAGACCUUCCCAGCCUCUCCCAGACCAACACAGCCUUUCCCAGUGUACUCUACAUAAGUAUAUAGCCGUCACAACCCAGCCCAGCCCAGCCCAGCCCAGGAAGAGGCCAGUGCACAUUCAGCCGGCAGUGAGCGAGGCGUGCGUGGAGGCUGUUACACCCGUAGUUAACUUUGACAUACGCGAAGGAAGUGGGUUUGAAAUGGUACUAUUGACACCGCCACGCCACUCACUGCAGG